UGUAAAAGAUGUGAAGUAUCACAGAUGAGAACUGGAAACAGCAACUGCUGCUUCAAAGGAAGAAGCAAUCACCAAGGGAAGGAAAGUGUGCAAAGGUCACAAUCGCUCGUCUUUGGCUAAAAAUGAUGUAAGAGCUGUAAUAUGCUUCGCCAAGACCAGGCUGACACCUACAUGACAGGAUGUUCACUUUUUGUAUGUAUUCUGUGGUAACCAAUCAGAUCCAUUUGACUGGUUUGACACAUGAGCUUCAUUUCCUUCACUUGCUGAUGAACCAACACAUUAUCAAAGAAGAGACCGAGUCAAGAUGAAGCUGUUUUGGGUUACUCUGCUUCUUUUUCAGCGAGGAUGCACACAUGUUCCAGUGACCACGGUUCAACUCGGUGAACCUGCGACCUUAAAAUGUGCUCUGCCCAAAAUCGAGAUCAGCCACCGAGAACUGAGCUGGUACAAGCAGAGCAACGGGAUACUCUGACGUUAAUGGUGACUGUGCGGAAAGCUAUAAAACCCAUCUUCUCACCAGAGUUCUCAGAGUCAAGAUUUGAGGUCAAAUAUGACCACGACUCCAACAACCUGACCAUCCUGAGAACGAGUGAAGAGGACGAGGGAAUGUAUCACUGUGCGGUCACUGAGUGGAUCAGCAAAACUGAAUGGAGCGGAACUUAUUUGGUCGUCAAAGUAACCAUGUGA